rnacentral:rRNA from 1 species
ACCCCAAUAGCUAGCCCAACCCCAAAAACCAACAAUCCUUGUCAAUAAACCCAAAAUCACAAAACCAAGUAAAUAAACCAUUCUUCCCCCUAAGUAUCUGCGAGAGAAAAGGAAACCCAGCGCUAUAGAAAAAGUACCGUAAGGGAAAGCUGAAAGAGAAAUGAAAUAAUUCAGUAAAGGACAGAGAAGCAGAGUUUAAACCUCGUACCUUUUGCAUCAUGAAUUAGUCAGCAUACCCCAAGCGAAGAGCCCUUUAUGUUUGGAACCCCGAAACUAAGCGAGCUACUCCAAGACAGCCUAUUAUAGGGCAAACCCGUCUCUGUGGCAAAAGAGUGGGAAGAGCUUUGAGUAGAGGUGACAGACCUACCGAGCUUAGUCAUAGCUGGUUGCCUGAGAAAUGAAUAGAAGUUCAGCCUUCUGACUUUUUUAACCAAACAAGGUCAUACCCCAACCCGGUCUUAAGAAGCCAAAAGAGUUAUUCAAAAGAGGGACAGCUCUUUUGAACAAAGACACAACUUUGUGAGCAGGCCAAAGAUCAUACUAACUAAGGCAAUGUACCCAGGUGGGCCUAAAAGCAGCCAUCCUAAUAAAAAGCGUUAAAGCUCAAGUAUAAAGCCCCUUUAAUUUUGACAAUUAUACUCUCCAGCCUCUCCCAAGUAUCAGGCCUCUCCAUGCACCCAUGGAGGAGACACUGCUAGUAUGAGUAAUAAGAGAACUAAGACUCUCUCGAGUGCACCUGUGUACAUCAGAACGAACCCACACUGACAAUUAACGCCCCCACCCAAAGAGGGGAGUGGGAGAACUCAAACAAACCUAGAAAUAUACCCACAACCUAGCGUUGACCCCACACAGGAGUGCCCCACGAAAGACAAAAGGAAAAAGAAGGAACUCGGCAAACACUGGCCUCGCCUGUUUACCAAAAACAUCGCCUCUUGCCAACCUAAUAUAAGAGGUCCCGCCUGCCCUGUGACUUAAGAGUUUAACGGCCGCGGUAUUUUGACCGUGCGAAGGUAGCGUAAUCACUUGUCUUUUAAAUGGAGACCAGUAUGAAUGGCAUAACGAGGGCUAAGCUGUCUCCUUUUUCCAGUCAAUGAAAUUGAUCUAUCCGUGCAGAAGCGGAUAUACCUACAUAAGACGAGAAGACCCUAUGGAGCUUUAGAUACCAGAAUAGCCCACGUUAAGCACCCUGCGAAAACAGGAAUAAACCAUGCGGCCACUAUUCUCAUAUCUUUGGUUGGGGCGACCGCGGAGUAACAAAAAACCCCCACGUGGAACAAGGCACCCCCUUUAAGGCCAGAGCCACAGCUCUAGCAAACAGAAUUUCUGACCAGCAAGAUCCGGCAUAGCCGAUCAACGGACCCAGUUACCCUAGGGAUAACAGCGCAAUCCCCUUUUAGAGCCCAUAUCGACAAGGGGGUUUACGACCUCGAUGUUGGAUCAGGACUUCCUAAUGGUGCAGCCGCUAUUAAGGGUUC